CAGCAGCCGCGGGAAAACGUAGGGUGCAAGCGUUAAUCGGAAUUACUGGGCGUAAAGCGUGCGCAGGCGGUUAUAUAAGUCAGAUGUGAAAUCCCCGGGCUCAACCUGGGAACUGCAUUUGUGACUGCAAGGCUAGAGUGCGGCAGAGGGAGAUGGAAUUCCGCGUGUAGCAGUGAAAUGCGUAGAUAUGCGGAGGAACACCGAUGGCGAAGGCAAUCUCCUGGGCCUGCACUGACGCUCAUGCACGAAAGCGUGGGGAGCAAACAGGAUUAGAGACCCCUGUAGUCCCUGUCUCUUAUAC
rnacentral:rRNA from 1 species